GACGAACGCUGGCGGCGUGCUUAACACAUGCAAGUCGAACGGUAAGGCCCUUCGGGGUACACGAGUGGCGAACGGGUGAGUAACACGUGGGUGAUCUGCCCUGCACUUCGGGAUAAGCCUGGGAAACUGGGUCUAAUACCGGAUAGGACCACUGCCUGCAUGGGUGGUGGUGGAAAGCUUUUGCGGUAUGGGAUGGGCCCGCGGCCUAUCAGCGUGUUGGUGGGGUGAUGGCCUACCAAGGCGACGACGGGUAGCCGGCCUGAGAGGGUGACCGGCCACAAUGGGACUGAGAUACGGCCCAGACUCCUACGGGAGGCAGCAGGGGGGAAUAUUGCACAAUGGGCGCAAGCCUGAUGCAGCGACGCCGCGUGAGGGAUGACGGCCUUCGGGUUGUAAACCUCUUUCAGCACCGACGAAGCGCAAGUGACGGUAGGUGCAGAAGAAGGACCGGCCAACUACGUGCCAGCAGCCGCAGUAA
rnacentral:rRNA from 1 species